GUGUGUGAAGUGUCUGAUUGCUCAGGACAAGUCAUUGUAGGUCAUUCCAGGAUAAUGACUUUUUGAUUUUGUAACCGUGAUCUUUGAGGUAACACUUCACAACAAGAUUCCAUGUAGUUAACUACAUUAGUGAACAAGAACAAACAAUGGAAAAUAAUUCUAAAUCAUUUUUGAUGUUAAAGUGUAUUAAUAAGUUUAUUGUGUUCUUUUGGCUCAGUGGUAGAGCAUUGCGUUAGCAGUACAAAAGGUUGUGGGUUUGAUUCCCAGGGAACACACAUAUGGGUAAAAAAAAGUGUAUACCGUAUUUUCCGGACUAUAAGUCGCACUAUUUUUCAUAGUUUGGCUGUUCCUGCGACUUAUAGUAAGGUGCGACUUAUUUAUCAAAAUUAAUUUGACAUGAACCCAGAGAUAUUAACCAAGAGAAAACAUUAACGUCUCCAGCCGCCAGAGGGCGCUCUAUGCUGCUCAUUGCUCCUGUAGCCUACACUGAAGACAUAGAGCGCCCUCUUGCGGCUGUAGAUGGUAAUGUUUUUUUUCCCUUGGUGCUAAAUAAAUGCAACUUAUAGUCCAGUGCGACUUAUAUAUGUUUUCUUCCUCAUCAUGACAUAUCAGGGUCCCCGCGGGUCCUUAAAAAGUCUUGAAAUGUCUUAAAUACAAUUUUCGAUUUUUAAGGUCUGAAAAUGUCUUGAAUCCUGGAAUUUUCCAUAUGAAUGUCUUAAAUUUCAUGUGGGAUCUUAAAUUUCAUGUCCGACUCGUCAUUUUUAUUUAUUUUUUCGACCGCACUUUGACCAGCGUAACAUUUGGGGGCAGCACUUCGUCGGUGCAACCUGCAUCAUUCCAUAGGUGACAUACGAGUAAGUGAUUAAUGAACGCGUUGCGUUGAUGGUUCGCCACCACGGCAUUUUGCGAAAUCGCAAGCAUGGGCAAAGACGAUAAAGCUGUGGACAAGACCACGAUUGUCAGGUCUCCCUAUCUUGGUUCUCAGUUUUGAGCCCCUCAACGGCAGAAGACUUGCUGGAGCACUUUAAGGAGGGCACCAAGGAACUUAAUUUAAGGAACAUGCUUUCUGUGUCAAUGGAUGGACCCACAGUAAAUUGGAAAGUCAUGGAUCUCCUACAACUGGAACAUGCAAUAAAUUUCUGAUCCUGA